UGAAGAGUUUGAUCCUGGCUCAGCCUGAACGCUGGCGGCAUGGCUAAAACAUGCAAGUCGAGGGAGAAGGGGGCUUCGGCCCCUGGACACCGGCGAAAGGGCGAGUAACGCGAUCGAACGUGCCCCGAGGUAGAGGAUAGCCGUGGGAAACUGCGGGUAAUACUCUAUAAGUUCCAAGGAAGAAAGCUCCGGCGCCUUGGGAGCGGCGAUCGUCCUAUCAGGUUGUUGGUGGGGUAAAGGCCUACCAAGCCGAAGACGGGUAGCGGGUGUGAGAGCAUGGCCCGCCGCAUCGGAACUGAGACACUGUCCGGACUCCUACGGGAGGCUGCAGUAACGAAUCUUCCGCAAUGCGCGAAAGCGUGACGGAGCAAUGCCGCGUGUGGGAUGAAGCGGUUACGCCGUGUAAACCACUGUCAGGACUUAGGAAGAACUGACCGAGUCCAAAGGAAGGGCCGGCUAAUCUCGUGCCAGCAGCCGCGGUAAUACGAGAGGCCCGAGCGUUAGGCGGAAUCACUGGGCUUAAAGGGUGCGUAGGCGGAUCAGUAAG
rnacentral:rRNA from 18 species